UACAGAGGGUGCAAGCGUUUAAUCGGAAUUACUGGGCGUAAAGCGUGCGUAGACGGUUAUUUAAGUCGGGUGUGAAAGCCCCGGGCUCAACCUGGGAAUUGCAUUCGAGACUGAAUAGCUAGGGUACGGUAGAGGGAAGUGGAAUUUCCGGUGUAGCGGUGAAAUGCGUAGAUAUCGGAAGGAACAUCAGUGGCGAAAGCGACUUCCUGGACCAGUACCGACGUUCAGGCACGAAAGCGUGGGGAGCAAACAGG
rnacentral:rRNA from 1 species